rnacentral:sRNA from 1 species
CCCUAGGACCAGUGAUGACAAAGGAUCUUGAAUCUCAAUAACGGUUUACCUGGUGAAGAAACUGAGGCCUAUCCCGUUAGGACACUAGUGCAGUUUACCGUGAGAACUUGGAAGAGCAAGCGGCUCCUGAGCCCGAGGUUUUAACAGUCAGGUGGCCCAGGAAAGUGCCGAGUGCAGCAGAGUUGAGGAGGUGUGAUUUAAAGUCAUGCAGGCAGGCCUCGGUGUGCUAGCCAGGAAGAGGAUACAUCUCUCAGUAGCCAGAUGAGGAAACUGCAGCAGACUGGCUUGACUUCCCGGUCAUCAUUAUCAAGUGAGAAACAAACCCAGAAGACUGGCUCACCUCUUGGACCAGGAUGGAUAACACGUCACAGAAGAGGGAGAUGGGAAAGAAUCUGUCAAUGCGGAAGUUGAGCCAAAGAAGGGGACAAGGCAUAUUACUCACAUUGUACCCAUUAUACACAUGGGAAAG